rnacentral:rRNA from 1 species
AGUGAACGCUGGCGGUAGGCCUAACACAUGCAAGUCGAACGGCAGCACAGUAAGAGCUUGCUCUUACGGGUGGCGAGAGGCGGACGGGUGAGGAAUACAUCGGAAUCUACUUUUUCGUGGGGGAUAACGUAGGGAAACUUACGCUAAUACCGCAUACGACCUACGGGUGAAAGCAGUGGAUCUUCUGACCUUGCGCGAUUGAAUGAGCCGAUGUCGGAUUAGCUAGUUGGCGGGGUAAAGGCCCACCAAGGCGACGAUCCGUAGCUGGUCUGAGAGGAUGAUCGGCCACACUGGAACUGAGACACGGUCCAGACUCCUACGGGAGGCAGCAGUGGGGAAUAUUGGACAAUGGGCGCAAGCCUGAUCCAGCCAUACCGCGUGGGUGAAGAAGGCCUUCGGGUUGUAAAGCCCUUUUGUUGGGAAAGAAAAGCAGCAGGUUAAUACCCAGCUGUUCUGACGGUACCCAAAGAAUAAGCACCGGCUAACUUCGUG